rnacentral:lncRNA from 1 species
UGUACAGUGAGUGUGGUGAGGUGCUGGCACAGGUUGCCCAGAGAGGUGGUGGAUGCCCUGUCCAUGGACACAGUCAAGGCCAGGCUGAACAGGGCCCUGAGCAACCUGAUAUAGCUGUGGAUGUCCUUGUUCAUUGCAGGGGGGUUGGACUAGAUGACCUUUAAGAGUCUCUUCAAACUCAAAUGAUUCUAUGAAUUUCCUGGGCUGAUGAGGUCACAGCACCAUCUAGACUGCCCUAGUGUGGCCGAGACCCGGCCAGUAGUGGUGUGAGAGAAAAAAGUGAGCUGGGCAGCCUGCUGCUAUUGCUGGCCUUGUGCAACUGCCCUGCCCCAGCAGCCUUUCUUUUACAGCCUGUGGGAAGUAAAGUGGUGAACAAGCAGCCUUGCAGGUUUUGGUUCCUUGCUGCCUCCUUUGAGACCAGUGUCCUCCAGGACAGGAUCAGAUCUGCUUCCUGGGUCAAGCUACUGUGUUUUUGUACUGAGGAGGAAGAGCUUUGCACUGAGGAAGUUAAAGACACCAAAAAGAAUAUUGACCUUUUAAACUUUUUCUCAGGAGUUGAAUGAUGAAGCUACUGAAAUGAGUUUUUUUUCCACUGUUCUCAGAUAGAAAAGUGGAUGAACAGAAGCUGAAUGGGGGAAUUACUUUUAUCAAAAUGAGACAAGCAUCUUGGUUUAAAAAAAAAAAAGUCAGAUGGUUGCAUAAAUAAAAAUUGAAGUUACUUUGAAAAGUUGUUUUUG